rnacentral:rRNA from 1 species
UACGGAGGGGGCGAGCGUUGUCCGAAGUUACUGGGCGUAAAGCGCGCGUAGGCGGGUUGGUAAGUCCGCUGUGAAAGCCCGGAGCUUAACUCCGGAGGGUCGGUGGAUACUGCCAGUCUUGAAGGUGCUAGGGGGAGAUGGAAUUACCGGUGUAGCGGUGAAAUGCGUAGAGAUCGGUAGGAACACCAGUGGCGAAGGCGGUCUCCUGGGGCAUUCUUGACGCUGAGGCGCGAAAGCUGGGGGGAGCGAACAGG